rnacentral:rRNA from 1 species
UACACUCCUGCGGGAGGCAGCAGUGGGGAAUAUUGGACAAUGGGCGCAAGCCUGAUCCAGCCAUGCCGCGUGAGUGAUGAAGGCCCUAGGGUUGUAAAGCUCUUUCACCGGUGAAGAUAAUGACGGUAACCGGAGAAGAAGCCCCGGCUAACUUCGUGCCAGCAGCCGCGGUAAUACGAAGGGGGCUAGCGUUGUUCGGAUUUACUGGGCGUAAAGCGCACGUAGGCGGACUAUUAAGUCAGGGGUGAAAUCCCGGGGCUCAACCCCGGAACUGCCUUUGAUACUGGUAGUCUUGAGUUCGAGAGAGGUGAGUGGAAUUCCGAGUGUAGAGGUGAAAUUCGUAGAUAUUCGGAGGAACACCAGUGGCGAAGGCGGCUCACUGGCUCGAUACUGACGCUGAGGUGCGAAAGCGUGGGGAGCAAACAGGAUUAGAAACCCCGGUAGUCCCA